rnacentral:lncRNA from 1 species
UUUUUUGUUUAAUAUCUGUGUGAAAAAAGCUUCAUUUAAAAGUAUAUGUUUUCUUUUUUUAUUAGGAAAAAAAUGGGAAGAAUAUAGUUUUUGACCCAAGGGAGAUAGUUUUUGAUUAUGUGAAAUAGCUCUUACCACCAGAAGUGCUGAAUACCAAAGGCUGGUGCAACUUCAGUCAAAACUAGGGACUGUGCAAGGACAUGGAUGGCAUGACAGAACAGAAGCAGGUCUGCUUACAGCUUUGAGGACAGUCUUACUCUUAAGUUUAAACGCUUCGGGCAUAAGUUCAAAUGUGAUCUGCAAAAUGCUGAGGAGGUUCCCAAAAAGUUGGCAAACCUGUUUAAUCACAGAGGAAAUUGUGGACUGCCAGUCAACACUGAUCUCUCACCUCUCUCCUUUCUUCCUAAGUAUGGACAAA